CUCCUGACAGUGCACUCUGCACAUCCUCAGCUGCUCCUUCCAGCAAGUUUCACUGCUUGCUUCUGGUUCAGCUUUAAAUGUGCAAAGGGAAACGUGGAGUUCUGCUUUUUCCAGAGUGCAGAAGCUCACCCCUUAAAUUUAUUCUUCAUGCCUGAAUAAGUCUCACCUCCAGCAGGAACUUUGAGACCUUCUCAACGAAAAUGAGAGCAUUGUUUCUAACAGCACAUCACACACCAAAGCUGCUUGGAAGGAGAAAGUGUUGCACAAGACUGGGAUGGAGAAUGACAGGCAACCUUCAUCCUGGGCCCUGGAAGGGACUGCACUGGGGUGUGACUGUGUUUUGAGUGUGGUUUUGCGCCAAAUGAUCUUCAGAGGUCCUUUAAAAUAUAAAUCAGCCCCUGUUUAUGGCCUGAAGCCAAGCCAGGAAUAUAAAAG
rnacentral:lncRNA from 1 species